GUAUAUGGUUUAUAUAGGCUUUAUAAGGCCUUAAAUGACAUUCUUGAACAUACAUGGUGUAGAUGUAAAAACAUAGGUCUGGAAAAUGUAAAGGAAAGCCGGCUUCGAUAGCACAGCAAGCCUUCAAAACAUAGCUAAAACUUGCGACAAGCUUUGACUAUAAAGAUAUUCCAGAACUACAAAGGGUGCACAGGUGGAAAGAUAAAAAUGAUAAACGUGCACAAUACUCCCAAGAGAGCCAGCAACAAUCUAUCAAGUUUAUUCUGUAAUGAUCCUUCCGCAGGUUCACCUACGGAAA
rnacentral:misc_RNA from 1 species